AUUUCUGGGCAAUUACUCCAUUGGCAGUUGCCACCUUCCUUUUAAAACACACACACACUGACACAUACAUAUAUAUAUUAUAUAUUAUGUGAAAUCAUAUUGCCAAAUUUAAGGCAAUAACAAAAUCGCUACUGCCAAAGGAGAUUUGCCCGGUAAUGCUCC